AAUAAGAUGAGAAGACUCUAUAGAGCUUUAAUUCAUUAAUGCAAACAGAAACUCAACAAAAGCCUACAGGCCCUAGCCUACUAUCUUUGCAUUAAAAAUUUUGGUUGGGGUGCCCGGCGUGGUGGCUCACGCCUGUAAUCCCAACACUUUGGGAGGCUGAGACGGGCAGAUCACGAGGUCAGGAGAUCGAGACCAUCCCGGCCAACAUGGUGAAAUUCCGUCUCUACUAAAAAUACAAAAAUUAGCUGGGUGUGGUGGUAUGCACCUGUAAUCCCAGCUACUCAGGAGACUGAGGCAGGAGAAUGGCUUUAACCCGGGAGGUGGAGAUAGCAGUGAGCCAAGAUCGUGCCACUGCACUCCAGCCUGGCAACAGAGCCAGACUCUGUCUUAAAAAAUAAAUAAAUAAAAAAUAAAAAAAAUAAAAAUUUUCUUUUAUUUCAGAGCAUAAUUCAACCUCCAAACUACCUAAACUAAGACCGCACUAGUCUAAGCAAGUUAACACACACUGACCCAAUAAUUCGAUCAACGGAAUAAGUUAUCCUAGGGAUAACGGCACAAUCCUAUUCUAGGGUCCAUAUCAACAAUAGGGUUUACAGCUUCAAUGCUGGAUCAGAACAUCCUAAUGGUGUAGCCGCUAUUAAGUGUUCGUUUUUUCAACUAUUAAAGUCCCAUGUGAUCUCAGUUCAGAUCGGAGUAAUCCAGGUCGGUCUCUAACUAUU
rnacentral:ncRNA from 1 species